UACGUAGGGACCGAGCGUUGUCCGGAAUCAUUGGGCGUAAAGGGCGCGUAGGUGGUUCUGUAUGUCUGCCGUGAAAGGGUACAGCUUAACUGUAGCUUGUCGGUAGAAACUGCAGGACUUGAGGCUGGGAGGGGCUGGUGGAAUUCCCUGUGUAGCGGUGAAAUGCGUAGAGAUGGGGGAGAACACUCGUGGCGAAGGCGGCCAGCUAGACCAGUUCUGACACUGAGGCGCGACAGCGUGGGGAGCAAACAGG
rnacentral:rRNA from 1 species